GAUCCACAGGCCAGAAGAGUUCAGUAGAAAACGGGUUUCUGAGCAAUGUAUUACAGAGAAGAUGUAAUCUUUUAAGCCAAUCUGAUUUUACUAUUUGUCAAUAGGUAGGAAAACAUAGACUAAUUAAAUUUCUUUCCCACUUACAAAAAUCCAUAUUCUCCGGUUAAAGGCAGAAAUAGCCAAGAGGUCAUGUAAAUCUGGCCUAUCACCCUGUGUGUAGUAAGGCUGGGGUGAGGUAACUUCUUUCUCCAUUUCUUUCUCAUCUUCCACAUCUAACAAAGGGCAUUAUCCUUCUAGGCAACUACAAGAUGAGGAGAGGGCUCAGGCUGGAUGGGCAGUUCUCAGAGGGAUGGGAGACUGAUGGCUAGCUCUCCAUCAAUCGUUCUAGCAGUGCAUUUCCCAGUGGUGAGGAAGGGUGUCAGGAGUCUAAGUGAUCAUUGGUAAUUACACCAACAGAAACAGCUAGAGAUGAAAGAAGCCAAUGAUCCCACUCUACUCCAGCAUUAAAUUUCAAGGUAAAGCAAGAGCUGCAACAACACGUGUCCAAUGUCUAGGACUGAAUAAUUUCAGGGUAUAUCAUAAACUACUUCUUUCAUUCUUGUUUUGCAUUUAUUUAUUUAUUUAUUUAUUUAUUUAUUUAUUCAUUUAUUUAUUGACAGAGUUUCUCUGUAUAACCCUGGAACUUGCUCUAUCGACCAGGUUGUACUUGAAUUUAGCAAUCUGCUUGUCUCUACCUCUGGAGUGCUGAGAUUAAAGAUGUAUGCCACCAUUUUCAGGAUGCUGUUUCUAUUCUUAACCCAGUCUCUCUCUCUCUCUCUCUCUCUCUCUCUCUCUCUCUCUCUCUCUCUCUCUCUCUCUCUCUCUCUCUCUCCCCCCCCCUCUCUCUCUCUCCCACACUUUUUUCCCUUUUUUUUCAGUUUGGCUCUCUGAGAAAAUGAUUGUGGGGGACAUGGGCAAUGUACACAAAUUAUGAUGGUAGACAAGGAAGAUCUAAUUUGGGGUUCAAACUUUUAAGCAAAUAUCUACCCAUAUUUAGCCAACUAAUUGAUUCUGACAAAAAUCAGAUUAAAGGGAAAACAAAAACUACCCACCCACAAAGAUGGUCAUGACU
rnacentral:lncRNA from 1 species